rnacentral:rRNA from 1 species
CAGCAGCCGCGGUAAUACGAAGGGUGCAAGCGUUAAUCGGAAUUACUGGGCGUAAAGCGUGCGUAGGCGGUUUGUUAAGUCUGUUGUGAAAUCCCCGGGCUCAACCUGGGAAUGGCAAUGGAUACUGGCAAGCUAGAGUGUGUCAGAGGAUGGUGGAAUUCCCGAUGUAGCGGUGAAAUGCGUAGAGAUUGGGAGGAACAUCAGUGGCGAAGGCGGCCAUCUGGGACAACACUGACGCUGAGGCACGAAAGCGUGGGGAGCAAACAGGAUUAGAUACCCCGGUAGUCCCUGUCUCUUAUAA